rnacentral:tRNA from 2 species
GGAGAGAUGGCCGAGAGGCUGAAGGCACCGGUUUGCUAAACCGGCAUACGGAGUAAUCUGUAUCACGGGUUCGAAUCCCGUUCUCUCCG